ensembl:lncRNA
UGACAGUAACACCAGAGGUAGUAAAAACAUCGUCAUUCACAAAUAUAUACUGCUUUUGGACCAUGCAUUAAAUUUAAUAGAUAUUUCUUUAUAUAUAAUGUUAUUAAUAAAAAAAAACAAAUCUAUAAAUAAUAUAAUUAACAAAUUAAGUUUAAGUAACACUCUUGUUUUAUUAAUUUAUAAAUUGUUAUAUAUAACUGUAAGCACGAACAUGUUAAAAAAUAAAAUCUCUAGUUUUGCAUUAAACAUAGUAUAUAAUUUUUUAUUGAACAAUCAUUAUUAUAACAUAGUAAAAGAAGGUGUUUACGAUACAUAUACAGACAGUAAUUGUAACAUACCAUAUGGGCAUAACACCCAUAACACACAUAACACACAUAACAUACGUAACAUACGUAAUGUUAAUAAAGUACCUGGUACUAUUCCACGUUCCAGUAAAUAUAGUUCUACAUCACCCAACUCUAGCAGUACGUGUGACGUUACUAUCACACGUAGUGAUUAUAUAAAUUCUGACGAAUCAUGUGAAUUUAUAAAGACAAAUUUUAAAUUCUUGUCAGAAGAAAAAAAAAAAAUAAAAAUAAAAAAAAUGAAACAAAGAUAUAAAAACUUAUCUAUCUUAAUUAAUUUUAUUUUUUUUAUUCUUUCGAAGUAUACAAAAAAAAAGAUUAAAACUGUGACAAAAGGACACGCAAAAACGGCAACGCAGAAGACAGCGCAGAUGCCGACGCAACGUACAACGCAAAGUACAAUGCAAAGUACAGCGCAAAGUACAGCGCAGAUGCCUACCAAUUUAUACACUAAUAUCGUAAACGUAUACGAAAUGGAAAAAUGGUUGAAUGUUGAAAAUAUUAGUUUUCAAAACCAUGAAAAAAAUUACCUAAAAAUGGACAUCCAUUUUAUUAAAAACAUAAUGUCUAUGUUACAUAAAAUAUUAAAACGAGGAAUGUGUAUAGACAUAUGUAUAAAAAACAAAGACAUAGAAUGUAUUGAUAUGAAUAUAUUGGUGCAGUAUAAUUAUAAACAUUUUAUUAGUAAACAUAGUAAACUGAAUGAAAAUAUAAAUUUAUUAAAACGCAAUAAUAACAAUAGUUGUACUAAUGGACAUAACAAAAAUCCACCAAAUGGGAAUAAUGAUCAAGUUUGUUCUAAUGAAACUAACGGCUCAAAAGAGAACAUAAACGUGGAAGAAACCAACAAAAGUGAAAACAAAAAAAUGACUGAUACUGAAAAAACUAAAAAUUGGAAGGAAAAAAAAAGUUUGAUUAAGAAUGAGGGUCUUGUUAAAGGAACUGGUUUGGGUAAAGGUACAAACUUGCGCAAAGGUAGAGGUUUAAGUAAAGGUAUAGGUUUGCGCAAAGGCACAGAUUUGGGUAAGGGCACAGGUUUGGGUAAGGGCACAGGUUUGGGUAAAGACAAAAAAGAACAGAACCGAGAAAAAAACAAUAAUAAUAAUAACGAUAAAAGCAGCGACGACAACGACAACGAAGACAACUUUAGCGAUACAGCACUAAUUCCUUUUGCAGAUGACAAUAUAAAAAAUUUAAGAAUUUUUAAAAAAAUACUUUUUAAUAGCUAUACUAAAAUAUUACUAACAUUUUGUAACGUAUAUAAUGAUAUUAUUAUUGAAUGUCUACAUAUCCAAUUACUGUUAUUCUACUUUCAAUAUAUAUUUUUACUUUUAAAAAAAAAAAUUGUAAUAAAAAAUAUAAAUAAUGGUUACACCCUACCGCAACAAUAUAUUUUAGUAUACUUUUUAAGUUACUACAAAAUGGAUAAACAAAUAUACAAGUUUCUAAAAACAAAUUAUUUUUUUAUUCUUAAAUAUGUUACAUAUAUUCAAAACGCUACAGUUUCUGACAAUUGUGUUUUACCAAAUAUAACUUCUGAAAACGAUGUGACGGAUAAUGUUAUAAGUACCUCAACAAAUACCAAUAAAAAUGAAACAAAUACAAAUAAAGACAAAUUGAUAAAUACAAACAAACACGUAAACUAUCAUUAUACUACUUUAAAAGAACAAGACAAUUAUAAAAAUUAUUGUAAACUAUUUUAUGAAUAUACGAUAAACAAGUAUAAACAAUAUAGCAAUGACAACACCAAUGAAUAUAAAGGAAACUAUAACUACAAUAGAAAUUUGAAUAAUAAUGUUUCCAAAUCAACAUACGUCUGCAUGUUGGACUUGUAUUGCCCUUGCUGCAGUGAAAUAAAAAUUUUAUUUUUAUCUACUAUUCUUUUUAUAAAUUUUAUGCUCCAAAACUUUCCAUUAUUUUUUUUACAAACAAAUGAUGAUAUAUCAAAUAGUGACAAAUUAAAUAGUGACAAAUUAAAUAGUGAAAAAUUAAAUAGUGA